CGAAAAUGUUGGUUUAAACCCUUCCCGUACUA
rnacentral:tRNA from 1 species